rnacentral:rRNA from 1 species
CCUACGGGUGGCAGCAGUCGAGAAUUUUUCACAAUGGGCGCAAGCCUGAUGGAGCGACGCCGCGUGGGGGAUGAAUGGCUUCGGCCCGUAAACCCCUGUCAUUUGCGAUCAAACCUUAUUAUUUAAAAGAUGAUAAGCUGAUAGUAGCGAAAGAGGAAGGGACGGCUAACUCUGUGCCAGCAGCCGCGGUAAUACAGAGGUCCCAAGCGUUGUUCGGAUUCACUGGGCGUAAAGGGUGCGUAGGUGGUGAGGUAAGUCGGAUGUGAAAUCUCCGAGCUCA